rnacentral:rRNA from 1 species
CUGGUUGAUCCUGCCAGUAGUCAUAUGCUUGUCUCAAAGACUAAGCCAUGCAUGUCUAAGUAUAAAUGUUAUACAGUGAAACUGCGAAUGGCUCAUUAAAACAGUUAUAGUUUAUUUGAUAAUCGAAUUUACAUGGAUAACCGUGGUAAUUCUAGAGCUAAUACAUGCUGGUUAGCCUGACUUUUGAGGAAGGGCUGUAUUUAUUAGAUAACAAACCAAUAUUCCUUGUGUCUAUUGUGAUGACUCAUAAUAACUGAUCGAAUCGCAUGGACUUUGUCCGCGAUAAAUCAUUCAAGUUUCUGCCCCAUCAGCUUUCGAUGGUAGUGUAUUGGACUACCAUGGCUUUAACGGGUAACGGAGGAUUAGGGUUCGAUUCCGGAGAGGGAGCCUGAGAAACGGCUACCACAUCUAAGGAAGGCAGCAGGCGCGUAAAUUACCCAAUCCUGACUCAGGGAGGUAGUGACAAGAAAUAACGGACCGAAGUCUAUGUUUCGGGAUUGCAAUGAGUUGAAUUUAAACCCCUUUACGAGGAUCAAUUGGAGGGCAAGUCUGGUAAUCAC